AGAAUACUUCAAAAUGAGAAGAUCCUGCCAUGGAAAAGACGACUGGGUGGACAUAAAGUGGAAAGGAGGGGAAAUAACUCCCACCAUGCAGCAGGACACCUUCAGCUGUGGGGUCUUUGUAAUAUGGCCAAGGAAGUUGCACAGAACUUCCCCAACAUCCCAAAUUGAUAUGGAACCUUCAAAAAACACAUGGAGUAACUGCAGAAAUAAAUGGCUGAGGAUAUACUAAACAUGUCUGAGUUCAACAAAGCCUGCUUCAUGUGUGCCACUGAUGAAGAACCUGGAUGUGGCCCAGACUGACUGGAUUGAAUGUUUUGCCAACGGGGGUUCCAUGUGCUCUGCCUCGGAAUGAAGACCAAAGAGUUCACCAGAGUAAAGAACACAAACUGGAAGUGCAGUCUUUGUUGUUGAAAAUGUCUGCUCUACCCCAUCCACACUGAAGAGGCUCUGACAUGUACAUCAGCCAGGGAUAAAGAGGAAGUUAACACUGACAUGUACAUCAACCAGGGAUAAAGAGGAAGUUAACACUGACAUGUACAUCAACCAGGGAUAAAGAGGAAGUUAACACUGACAUGUACAUCAACCAGGGAUAAAGAGGAAGUUAACACUGACAUGUACAUCAACCAGGGAUAAAGAGGAAGUUAACACUGAC